ACUUGAAGAGAAGAUGGGAUGAAGAGCUUACAAAAAUAACUCUCCUCCUACCUUACUCUAGCAUCAGGGUACUUAGCAGUGAUUUAUUCCUGCUCACAGUCACUCCUUCUCUACACUGAGCCGCCUGGAUACAAUUAGGAAAACAUUCCAUUGGCAAAAGUGGCCUAGAAGAUCACAUUUGGUUACAGAAGAACCCAAAAGACUCAAGACAACACUCUGAAAACCAUCAAAAUGGUCUCUGAGCAUGUUCAUCUAAAUAUUAGUAACUGAAAAUUUUAUAGCAACGUUUUACUUAAUUUUCUUAACAGCAAAGCACUUGGAAAAUAUGAAAAGUUUGGUUCUAGGUAUGUUGCCAAUCUGCUUAUAGGGUCAAAAAAACCACAGUGACAUUCUCUGCUAUUUUCAUAAUACAUCACAUGUCUGACCAAAGGCCACCAAAACCA
rnacentral:lncRNA from 1 species